GACGAACGCUGGCGGCGUGCUUAAUACAUGCAAGUCGAACGGAUAGGCCCUGCCUUUGUGGGGUGCUCGAGUGGCGAAAGGGUGAGUAACACGUGAGUAACCUGCUCUUGACCUUGGGCUACCUUCAGGAAACUGGGGCUAAUACCGGUUCUGAGCUCCUGCUGCAUGGUGGGGGUUGGAAAGUUUCGGCGGUUGGGGAUGGACUCGCGGCUUAUCAGCUUGUUGGUGGGGUAGUGGCUUACCAAGGCUUUGACGGGUAGCCGGCCUGAGAGGGUGACCGGCCACAUUGGGACUGAGAGACGGCCCAGUCUCCUACGGGAGGCAGCAGUGGAGAAUAUUGCACAAUGAGCGGAAGCCUGAUGCAGCAACGCCGCGUGCGUGAUGACGGCCUUCGGGUUGUGAACCGCUUUCGCCUGUGACGAAGCGUGAGUGACGGUAAUGGGUAAGGAAGCACCGGCUAACUACGUG
rnacentral:rRNA from 1 species